GUGAAGCCAAACUCUGCAUCUUCUGAUCCUCUUCUAAUAGUUUGCAGUCAUGAAUGUAGGUAUCUAUGUGUGUGUUAUCCUGGCUGCUUUGUCCAGUGGCUCCCUGAGUCUGCCUCCACAGUUAGUGAGAGCUGAGAGUACGGCUCACUUAACAAACAGCCUCCAUGCUCCGUCGUUCAGCCAGAGUCGCCAGGUCCGCUUGGCUCCAGGGCCACAUCACAACAAUUUCCAUGCUCCACAACAUGCAAAGAACCCACUCUCGUUUCUGGGCAGACUCAUCCACAGGAAAAUCUCUCCUCCCUUGAUAUUCUGGGCCGUUCCUCAGCGCUUCCACCCCAAGAAAAAGAAUUAGAUGAACCGGCUGGCCUUCUCUCCCGACCCAGUCACAGACCACAGCACCACAUUGUGAUUUUCAGUUUUACAACAGAUUUGAUUUAGAAUACUGUACUGAGAAAGA